UUGUUUUUAAUCAUAAUUUUACUUAUGAAAUGGUCGAACCCCAGGGGAAAAUUGCCAUGGAUGGCAAUUUUAGGAAGCGUCGGACAGGAUGUCCGUUGCUUCCGACCCAUCCGCAUGGUUACAACCAUACUCCAUUUCAUUAGUAAAAUUUGAUUAAAAACUC
rfam:Lachnospiraceae bacterium 28-4 genomic scaffold acPFn-supercont1.2, whole genome shotgun sequence.